AAAGUGCGAUAACUAGUGUGAAUUGCAGAAUUCAGUGAAUCAUCGAAUCUUUGAACGCACAUUGCGCCCGCCAGUAUUCUGGCGGGCAUGCCUGUCCGAGCGUCAUUUCAACCAUCAAGCCCCCGGGCUUGUGUUGGGGACCUGCGGCUGCCCGCAGGCCCUGAAAACCAGUGGCGGGCUCGCUGUCACACCGAGCGUAGUAGCAAUCACCUCGCUCAGGGCGUGCUGCGGGUUCCGGCCGUUAAACAGCCUUACAAAACCCAAGGUUGACCUCGGAUCAGGUAGGAAGACCCGCUGAACUUGAGC
rnacentral:misc_RNA from 1 species